rnacentral:rRNA from 1 species
AUGAAUUGCCUAAGUUGGAACUGUCGAGGGGCGGGGAACCUUCGUACAGUUCGUGAUCUUGUAGCACUAGUGGGUGCUCAUUCCCCGGAAUUUGUCUUUUUGUGUGAAACUAGACAAGCAAAGGAGAAAAUGUAUCGUCUUCGCUCUCGUUUGGGACUUGCGGGUUUUGAAGGAGUGAGUAGUGAUGGCCAUAGUGGAGGCCUUGCCUUAUUUUGGCAUGAAUCUGUAACAAUGGAGGUGCAGGAUGUAAAUAAAAGGUGGAUUGAUGUCUUAGUGCGUGUAUCAUCCAAUGAGCCACCCUGGCGUAUCACCUUUGUGUAUGGCGAACCACGCGUGGAAAACAGACAUGUGGUGUGGGAUGCCAUACGUCAUUUGCAUAGUCAGAGUAACCUGCUGUGGAUGCUUGUUGGGGACUUUAAUGAGGCUAUGUGGGAUUAUGAGCACAUGUCAAGGCACCAGGGCAAAUGCUUAUAUUCAGAGAUGCACUAG